UCCAGAUUUAGAACCAAGGGUUAGAUGUAAGUUGGAAUAUGUUUAUGCGGUGAUGAUGAGACCUUGUUUCUAACGAGAUCUUAUCUUAUCUUUUAUACCCAUUUUCAUUGCUCUUUUUCCUUGUUGCAAUUCUCCUCCCUAGUUCAGAGCUCCAAUUUAGAGAAAAAAAAUCAAAGAAAAAAAUCGCCAUGAUCAAAUAAAAGCAAACCCUAACCAACAAGUAAUUCCAAACCAUUAUUUCUCUCCAUAUCUAUCAAUUUUUUUUUUCCAAAAACGAUUUCUUUAAAACCUCUUUUUUCUGGUUUCAAUCUUCAUCAGACCUUCAAGUGGAUUUAUCUUCAGAUAACUAUGGCUAGGUGCAAGUAUUUGGACUCCUUUGGUUGAUACACGAAGGUCUCCACAUAAUGGUUUAGACAGUCAUGGCAGUUCAUUUUCAAGCAGUGGGCAUAAGUCUUAUCUGUCUUCGGAGGGUAUAUAUUCUCCUAGUGAAGGUUCAAAUCAGUGGAAUGAGGCUCUAUUGCAGAUAAAUAGUGAUACUGAAGCUAGGCAAUAAUAAAAAAAAGCAUGAUCAGUAAUGUGAUAAUUGUCUGCCAAAUGAAUUCAAUGACAUUGGACAACCUAUAGGACCUCUACCCACAAGACGUAUGCCACCAAACAUGGAAAGAUGAACAUAAAUCUUGUCUCACCAGCUUAUUUCAUCCUCCAUGCUUGUAGUAUACCAUUAUGAUCAGUUGGGCAACGAAGAUCAUCUUUUUGCUGGUUUCUAGCUUGAUCGUUGAUUGCAUGCCUUCUUAAAUUUUUAAAAUCAAUAAAAUUUCACAACAAGCCUUUAAAAUAAAGUAAGAACAGGACUUUGUUGUCAAAUUUUUUUGACAAGUUCUCAUAUUUUAUUCACAUGGGUGAAUCGUUUGUGUACAAGUACUGAGUUCUUGAACAUUUGAAGAACACUUCGAACUGACUUUCCUGGUAUUUUUAGAAAAGUAAGAUUUUGCUGAGAAAUUGGCUCAAAAAGUGCUAUCUGCACCCGCGGGAGGAACUACUAAAGGCACCCGGAGGAGUUGAUAAAUGCACCAGGAGUUUUCACUAUUUAUAGCCCAAAAUUACUCUUUGUACCCUACAAAUUUCUAUUCGCACCCCAUGAAUUGCUAAAGGGACACCGGAACUGGAUAAGGGGGGUCAUCUUCAACCUUUGAAUUUAUGAAAUUUGGUGGGAAAAUUGAGUUUCAUUGACCAGGAUUAGGGUUUGAGAAUUGGAGUUGUUAGAGGGAGACUAAAGCGCUGAAAUUAAUUGGGUUUACUCUAAACGACUAAACAAAACUGGUAAUGGUCUUAGAUUCAUUUAAAAUUGGCUGGAUAAUCACCAAUUGAGAGAACAUCAUUCUCCGGUUUAUAUUCAGGCAGAAUUAGGGAUUUGAUAUUGGACGUGUUUUUGGGGAUUCAAUCGUUGGAAUUGAUUGGAAUUGAAUUGUUUGAGCUAAAAAGGACUGGUAAGUCCUUCAGGUUUGAAAGGAUUGGGAUGUAUUGACGGGUUUUGAAGCACACAGGGAACUUGAGUUCUUCACGAGAUACAUGAAUUGCAGCAAUGAUUUGCGCGUGUUUGGAUGUGGAUGAAGCAUUUGACGUCAUAUGUGACGUGAACGAGAUGAGUUGGAUGGCUCUGAGAUGUAGAAGAAGCGUGAGAAUCAAAAUCAGAGAAAUAAAAGGGAAGAAAAUAUUUCUGAGAUGAUAAUUUACAGCAAAGGAUUUUUAACAUUUACUGGGGGUGAUUUUAUGCGGGUGUUGAGUACAAAAGAGGUGUUGGGAUACCAUAGAAAGGCUAUCGAGAGUUUAGGGAAAGAACAGAG